GGCCUCAUAUCUUUGCUUUAACAAAGCUCUCUGUCUAGCUACAGAGUUCCUUUAACUUCCAAUCAUAUACCUCCCUUCCUUUCUUAUCUUCCUGUAUAUGCCUGCGAGAGGCCCUCACUAGUUAUGAGUAUAACGCCUUUGUUAAAGUGUUAUAGAAAAGACAUACAUGUUGAAGUAGAUGCAUAUAAGUUAGCCCAUAUUUACUCAAUGUUUAAGUAACUCCAUACAAAUUAUCUCACUUUUACUUAAUAUCUGUUAAGUGUUUGCACAAAAGGUAUCAAAUUAUUUACUCAAUAUUAUUAUUGUGUGAAACUUAGCAAGAAAGUCUAGUUGCAUUGUUCCACAGGAAAACGGCACUCAACACACUUCGAGAUAUCUAAUCAGUCGAGGACGAGGCUGCCAACCGACUGAGGAGAGACUCUGCACUGCCGGGGUCACGGAAAGGCCAAGGUUCUGUUGGCCCGCUUUGUUAGCUAGGCAGCGUUGCUACAGCCACAAACUCCCCUCCCUUUAGUGUAGCAACGCUUUUGUAACCAGGGCAACCUAAAA